GAUGAACGCUGGCGGCGUGCCUAAUACAUGCAAGUCGAGCGAACAGAUGAGGAGCUUGCUCCUCUGACGUUAGCGGCGGACGGGUGAGUAACACGUGGAUAACCUACCUAUAAGACUGGGAUAACUUCGGGAAACCGGAGCUAAUACCGGAUAAUAUAUUGAACCGCAUGGUUCAAUAGUGAAAGACGGUUUUGCUGUCACUUAUAGAUGGAUCCGCGCCGCAUUAGCUAGUCGGUAAGGUAACGGCUUACCAAGGCAACGAUGCGUAGCCGACCUGAGAGGGUGAUCGGCCACACUGGAACUGAGACACGGUCCAGACUCCUACGGGAGGCAGCAGUAGGGAAUCUUCCGCAAUGGGCGAAAGCCUGACGGAGCAACGCCGCGUGAGUGAUGAAGGUCUUCGGAUCGUAAAACUCUGUUAUUAGGGAAGAACAAAUGUGUAAGUAACUAUGCACGUCCUGACGGUACCUAAUCAGAAAGCCACGGCUAACUACGUG
rnacentral:rRNA from 1 species